rnacentral:rRNA from 1 species
UACGUAGGGGGCUAGCGUUGUCCGGAAUCAUUGGGCGUAAAGAGCGUGUAGGCGGUCCGGUAAGUCCGCUGUGAAAGUCGGGGGCUCAACCCUCGAAUGCCGGUGGAUACUGUCGGGCUAGAGUGCGGAAGAGGCGAGUGGAAUUCCUGGUGUAGCGGUGAAAUGCGCAGAUAUCAGGAGGAACACCAAUUGCGAAGGCAGCUCGCUGGGACGUGACUGACGCUGAGGAGCGAAAGCGUGGGGAGCAAACAGG